UACGAAGGGGGCUAGCGUUGUUCGGAAUACUGGGCGUAAGGCGCACGUAGGCGGAUCGAUCAGUCAGGGGUGAAAUCCCAGGGCUCAACCCUGGAACUGCCUUUGAUACUGUCGAUCUGGAGUAUGGAAGAGGUGAGUGGAAUUCCGAGUGUAGAGGUGAAAUUCGUAGAUAUUCGGAGGAACACCAGUGGCGAAGGCGGCUCACUGGUCCAUUACUGACGCUGAGGUGCGAAAGCGUGGGGAGCAAACAGG
rnacentral:rRNA from 1 species